AGAUACAAGUAGAACAGUGCCCAUGCUAUCUGACAUUUCUGAGACCCGUUGUGGCUCCCUGCUUCCAUCUCCAGCCUCGUUUCAAACUAAGAUGCAAAUGGCUGCAGUUUUGUUCUAGGAUGCCCAUAUCAGGAGCCCCAUGUGGCCUUUGGCCUUUGCUCCUGAAGUGGUCCCCAUCAGGAAUGUUCUUGCUCUUCUCUCUGCCUCUCUGACUCUGAGUCAUAUUUCAAAGAUAACCCCCUCAGUUCCCUUUUGUUCGACCAGAUUUGUUUACCCUAGUCUGUUUACUUAUGGAUUCAUCCUAUCAUUCAUUUAGCCAAUAUUUGCUAAGCACCUUCUAUUCUUGGGUUCUGUGGAGAUAUUAGGAUGCAGUGUUUAAAAGAAAAUUCAACUCAAUCCAGUAAGUGUUUAAGAUGCUCACCUGGUGUGUCCAUCCUGGUUUUAGUCCCCAUGAAGAAGGCAGAGGAGCAUCGUCCAGAGGAGACCUGACCUGCACCUACUCAACUCCUGUCCUCAUUGCCACAUAGGAAUAAGAAAUACAUGGCAAUAGAGGGUAAUAAGAGUAACAACAAGAGCUUGGAAGAUGCUUCCCUGUUAUAGAAAUGUUUAACUUCUCUGGUCUAUCGAGGGGUGGGAAGGCCUCCAAAAGCAGGUUGCAAUCUAGAUGUGUUUGAAAUGAUGAGUGAGAUGAAUGAACAGCUGGAAUCAAGAAACCUGGGUUCUGGUGCAUAGUCUGCCUCUGUCUGUGCUGACUUGGAGCAAAUCAUCUCAUCUCUUUGGAUCUCAUGAGGGGGUUGGAGUGGCACAACGACGAAGGUCUGUCUUGCCUGAGCUCUGAUCUUCAUAUUGAGUAACUUCAUAUUAACUUCAUAUUGCUCAUCUUGCAUCUCCAGGCUUCCAUUUCCUUGUCUGUAAAAUGAAGAUGCUAAUAGCCAAACCUUGAGACUCUAGAAGAUUCAACAGGAGAAUGUACAGAAAUACAAACAUGCUGAGCCCUGUGAAGGGAUGAGUAGGUGCAGGUCAGGUAUCCCCUGGACGAUGCUCCUCUGCCUUCGUCAUGGAGACUGGAACAAGGAUGGACACACCAGAUGAGCAUCAUCAACAUGUGCUAGAUUGAGUUGAGAUUUCUUUUUCACACACACAACACACAGUCAGAGACAUAGAGUUAUUAUCAUCUCAUCUCAGAAUACUCUCCUCCUUCAUUUCCAUCAAAGCACUGAACUCCUCUGUCUAAACCCUGCUCCACCAGCAGCCCCAGCAGCAUUGCUCCCAGGCCCUUCACUUGCUCUCCUUUGUGGGUUCUUAC
rnacentral:lncRNA from 10 species